AUGCGACGAGUGAGUAGAAGAAACGAUAGGAGAGGACGGCGUCGGAUCUGCAACAGCAGGAUGAGGAGUAGGAAUACUGGGCAGAGAGGGAGGUGUAUCUGGAAAAGUAAGAAAAGAGAUGUCCUCCGUAGAAAAAGCCGAGGAGGAUGGACGCGAGUAGAAGGGAUGAGAUUCAUCAAAGGUCACAUCCCGGGAAAUACGCAUCCGGCGACCGACAGGAUCCCAACACCGAUAGCCCUUAUGCUCAUCACUAUAUCCAAGAAAGACACACUCAACAGACUGAGCGGUCAGUUUGGUGCGUUCACAAGGGGCAAGCAAAACAUAGCAGACACAACCAAACAAACGGAGCGCUGA
rnacentral:rRNA from 1 species